UAGGGAAUCUUCGGCAAUGGGGGCAACCCUGACCGAGCAACGCCGCGUGAGUGAAGAGGGUUUUCGGAUCGUAAAGCUCUGUUGUAAGAGAAGAACGUGUGUGAGAGUGGAAAGUUCACACAGUGACGGUAACUUACCAGAAAGGGACGGCUAACUACGUGCCAG
rnacentral:rRNA from 1 species